UUUAAAGAGAGUUUGAUCCUGGCUCAGGACGAACGCUGGCGGCGUGCCUAAUACAUGCAAGUCGAACGAACGGAGGAAGAGCUUGCUCUUCCAAAGUUAGUGGCGGACGGGUGAGUAACACGUGGGCAACCUGCCUGUAAGUUGGGGAUAACUCCGGGAAACCGGGGCUAAUACCGAAUGAUAGAAUGUGGCGCAUGCCACGCUUUUGAAAGAUGGUUUCGGCUAUCGCUUACAGAUGGGCCCGCGGUGCAUUAGCUAGUUGGUAGGGUAAUGGCCUACCAAGGCAACGAUGCAUAGCCGACCUGAGAGGGUGAUCGGCCACACUGGGACUGAGACACGGCCCAGACUCCUACGGGAGGCAGCAGUAGGGAAUCUUCCGCAAUGGACGAAAGUCUGACGGAGCAACGCCGCGUGUAUGAAGAAGGUUUUCGGAUCGUAAAGUACUGUUGUUAGAGAAGA
rnacentral:rRNA from 1 species